GUUCAGCAACAGCUGGUAGUCGGCGCUCUGGCGCUCGGCGUCACCGCGCACUUGCAGCAGCUGCUCCUCCACGUUGCCGAUGAGCUGCCGCACCUGGGACAGCUGGCUGUAGUAGUCGCCCUCGGUUUCGGCCAGCGAGUCGUCCAGGGAUUUCUUCUGCACGGGGGAGGGAAAUGGCACAGACGUAACAAUGGAGGGGACCGAAAUGCGGAAGGCAGCCAAUGGCCUUACUAAUUUGGAUGCAACAUUUCCUUUGCAAGGCGAAAGGAAGCCGCGUCUUUUGGCGCGCGCCGUACCGUGGCGAGCUGGGACUGGAGCUCGAUCUCCAGGGUUUGAAGCACGCGCCGCAGGUUGCUACUCAGUGGGAGAGAAGUGAAAAAAUUAGGAAGUGAUACUUUUCUACCAGCGAUGAACCGCAGUAGCACCGCAUCCCAGGCUACCUCUUCCCGUCUGGCUGGCUGCCUUGGCUAUGAACAAAGAGCAAUCGGAGGGUGAGGAUGUUAAGUAACUUAUUCAAGGCCACACAGCCAGGAGAUGGCCAAGAUAGGAUCUGGGUCUGCAGUGCCUUCUAUACACAACACAACCCUGCUGCUUACAGUGAAAACAAAAAGGACAGAGGGUCGCUCUGACCCCCAAAUCAUGAGACUGGGUUUCUGCCCUGCACAUCAACCAGGAGUUUUAGCUCUUUCCUUUUCAAAAAAGCUUUCUCUUUGAAUUUCAUUUCUCAGUGUACAGCCUGAGACCCAGUGAUCUACUCUUCAUGGUUUAUCAGAAAUGGCAUCACAAAUGAAAUCUUGGGAACCUACAGGCAAAUGUGUUUUUAGUUAUACUUUUUGACAUGUAACCACAUCUCCAGAGAUCUUAUGAAGUACUAGUUAAACUUGCACUUCCCACCCAGCAACUUGACAUUAUGGGUGUAAAUUAUUAGUCACUCACAAGUAGCAACCCCCUGAGACAGGGUGAAUCCACUUUAUUGCCCUAGAAAUGAAAACAGACUAUUACUUGCUUACAGAGUCAGAAGGAAUGUGCCAAAUUCAGAAUUGUAACUUCGUGAUAUCACAUAAUACGGGAAUAUGAUUAACUUGAAUUUUUGAACUUGGAAUCAAUUUAGUGCUGAAAUGUAUACUUUCCAACUCUAAUGCUUCUAUGUAAAUUUUAAAUAAUCUUGUUCAAUAUCUAUACAUUAUGUUUACACAUUAUACCUUCGUGUUUCUAUACAUAUAUAUUAUCCUAGACUGUAAGCUUCUCAGGCAAGGGCUAUGUCUACUUCAUUUUUUAUCCUGAGUCUUAGCCUAGUAUUUGGCUAAACUUC